rnacentral:rRNA from 2 species
AGAGUUUGAUCCUGGCUCAGAUUGAACGCUGGUGGCAUGCUUAACACAUGCAAGUCGAACGGUAACAGGUCUUCGGAUGCUGACGAGUGGCGGACGGGUGAGUAACGCGUAGGAAUCUGCCAUCUGUGGGGGAUACCAGUUGGAAACGACUGUUAAUACCGCAUAAUAUCUGCGGAUUAAAGGUGGCCUUUGCGCUGCCGCAGAUGGAUGAGCCUGCGUUGGAUUAGCUAGUUGGUGGGGUAAGGGCCUACCAAGCUACGAUCCAUAGCUGAUUUGAGAGGAUGAUCAGCCACAUUGGGACUGAGACACGGCCCAAACUCCUACGGGAGGCAGCAGUGGGGAAUAUUGGACAAUGGGGGAAACCCUGAUCCAGCAAUGCCAUGUGUGUGAAGAAGGCUCUAGGGUUGUAAAGCACUUUAGUUGGGGAGGAAAGCCUGUGAGUUAAUAGCUUGCAGGAAGGACGUUGCCCAAAGAAUAAGGACCGGCUAACUCCGUGCCAGCAGCCGCGGUAAUACGGGGGGUCCGAGCGUUAAUCGGAAUUACUGGGCGUAAAGGGUCUGUAGGUGGUUUGUUAAGUCAGAUGUGAAAGCCCAGGGCUCAACCUUGGAACUGCAUUUGAUACUGACAAACUAGAGUAUGGUAGAGGAAUAGGGAACUUCUGGUGUAGCGGUGAAAUGCGUAGAGAUCAGAAGGAACACCAAUGGCGAAGGCAACAUUCUGGACCAAUACUGACACUGAGGGACGAAAGCGUGGGGAUCAAACAGGAUUAGAUACCCUGGUAGUCCACGCUGUAAACGAUGAGUACUAGCUGUUGGAUUCGGUGUAAAGGAUCUAGUGGCGCAGCUAACGCGUUAAGUACUCCGCCUGGGGACUACGGCCGCAAGGCUAAAACUCAAAGGAAUUGACGGGGACCCGCACAAGCGGUGGAGCAUGUGGUUUAAUUCGAUGCAACGCGAAGAACCUUACCUGGUCUUGACAUCCUGCGAACUUUCUAGAGAUAGAUUGGUGCCUUCGGGAACGCAGUGACAGGUGCUGCACGGCUGUCGUCAGCUCGUGUUGUGAAAUGUUGGGUUAAGUCCCGCAACGAGCGCAACCCCUAUUGAUAGUUACCAUCAUUAAGUUGGGUACUCUAUUGAGACUGCCGCUGACAAGGCGGAGGAAGGUGGGGACGACGUCAAGUCAUCAUGGCCCUUACGACCAGGGCUACACACGUGCUACAAUGGGUAUUACAGAGGGCUGCGAAGGUGCGAGCUGGAGCGAAACUCAGAAAGGUACUCUUAGUCCGGAUUGCAGUCUGCAACUCGACUGCAUGAAGUCGGAAUCGCUAGUAAUCGCAGGUCAGAAUACUGCGGUGAAUACGUUCCCGGGUCUUGUACACACCGCCCGUCACACCAUGGGAGUGGGUUGCUCCAGAAGUAGAUAGCUUAACGAAUGGGCGUUUACCACGGAGUGAUUCAUAACUGGGGUGAAGUCGUAACAAGGUAGCCGUAGGGGAACCUGCGGCUGGAUCACCU